rnacentral:rRNA from 1 species
UGGGGAAUAUUGCACAAUGGGCGCAAGCCUGAUGCAGCGACGCCGCGUGCGGGAUGGAGGCCUUCGGGUUGUAAACCGCUUUUGUUCAAGGGCAAGGCAGGCUUUC